UUGGAGGGCAAGUCUGGUGCCAGCAGCCGCGGUAAUUCCAGCUCCAAUAGCGUAUAUUAAAGUUGUUGCAGUUAAAAAGCUCGUAGUUGAACUUCAGGCCUGUCCAGACGGUCCGCCUUAAUUGGUGUGUACUGUCCUUGGGUGGGUCCUACCUUCUGGCGAAGCGGCAUGGCCUUAAUUGGUUGUGUCGGGGAACCAGGACUUUUACUGUGAAAAAAUUAGAGUGUUCAAAGCAGGCAAAUAUGCUCGAAUACAUUAGCAUGGAAUAAUGGAAUAGGACGAUGGUUCUAUUUUGUUGGUUCUAGGACCGUUGUAAUGAUUAAUAGGGAUAGUUGGGGGCAUUAGUAUUCAAUUGUCAGAGGUGAAAUUCUUGGAUUUAUUGAAGACUAACUACUGCGAAAGCAUUUGCCAAGGAUGUUUUCAUUAAUCAAGAACGAAAGUUAGGGGAUCGAAGACGAUCAGAUACCGUCGUAGUCUUAACCAUAAACUAUGCCGACUAGGAAUCGGGCGAUGUUGACAAAAUGACUCGCUCGGCACCUCAUGGGAAACCAAAGUGUUUGGGUUC
rnacentral:rRNA from 1 species